rnacentral:rRNA from 1 species
AAAAUAAUAUAAACGGCGUAAAGCACGACUAAAAAAAGUUAAGACAUUAGAGAAUGAAGCCAAACUGGGCUGUAAAAAGCCAUAAGUUACAAUAACCACAUCUAAUACUAAACAAAUUCCACUCGUGAAAGUCAGGACACAAACUAAGAUUAGAUACCUUACUAUGCCUAACUGUAACACAACAAUUAAACUACCAAUUGUUCGCCAAAUAACUACGAGUAAAAACUUAAAAUUUAAAAGACUUGACGGUACCUCACAACAGCCUAGAGGAGCCUGUCCAUAACCGAUACCCCACGAUUAACCUCACCCCCCCUGGCCAACAGUCUAUAUACCGCCGUCGCCAGCCUACCUUAUGAAAGAAACAAAGUAAGCCAAAUAGUCACACACUAGCACGACAGGUCGAGGUGUAACUUAUGGGGGGGCCAAGAUGGGCUACAUUUUCUAACACAGAAUAAACGAAUAAACUAUGAAAAAGAAACUGAAGGCGGAUUUAGCAGUACACUGGGAACAAAAUACCCAGUCGAAAUCAAUGCAAUGAGGUGCGUACACACCGCCCGUCAUCCCUGUUGCCAAACCUACACAAAUCCAUAA